AUGGCUUCAGUGAGCAAAAACAGAGAAGAGUUGUGGUCCGACUGCAUCUUUGACGGUGCAGAAGCUGCAGCCUGAGGACAGGGGGGUGGAUUUUUGUGCUGUGAGUCAACACAGUGAUCCAGGCGACUUAGGAAGCUCCACAAAAUCACAAAUCCCAAGGUUCCUCUCUCAGUCACAAAGUCCAGCAGAGUCCAGCUAACAUUUACAAGAAACCAGCAGAAACAGCCAAAAUCAGCUGUUCACACAGUAUUGACAACUAUGAUCGAAUCUUCUGGUACAAGCA